rnacentral:rRNA from 1 species
UACGAAGGGGGCUAGCGUUGCUCGGAAUUACUGGGCGUAAAGGGCGCGUAGGCGGCACUGUUAGUCAGGCGUGAAAGUCCUGGGCUCAACCUGGGAACUGCGCUUGAUACGGCAGAGCUAGAGGAUGGAAGAGGCUCGCGGAAUUCCCAGUGUAGAGGUGAAAUUCGUAGAUAUUGGGAAGAACACCGGUGGCGAAGGCGGCGAGCUGGUCCAUUACUGACGCUGAGACUCGAAAGCGUGGGGAGCAAACAGG